UGCCAGCAGCCGCGGUAAUACGAAGAGAGCAAGUGUUAUUCGGAAUUAUUGGGCGUAAAGGGUAUGUAGAUGGUUUUAUAAAUUUUUUAUUAAAAACAAGAGCUCAACUUUUGAUGAUAAAUUAUAUUGUAAAACUUGAGUUUUUUAGAAAAUAGUAGUAUUUUUAAUGUAGGGCUGAUAACCGACAAUAUUAAAGAGACUAUCAAUAGGUGAAAACAACUAUUUAUAUAAAACUGACGUUGAGGUACUAAAGCGUAGGGAGCAAAUUGGAUUAGAUA
rnacentral:rRNA from 1 species